rnacentral:rRNA from 1 species
UACGUAGGAUCCGAGCGUUGUCCGGAAUUACUGGGUGUAAAGGGUGCGCAGGCGGUUUUGUGCGUCAGAGGUGAAAUCCACGGGCUUAACUCGUGGGGUGCCUUUGAAACGGCAGAACUUGAGUACGGGAGAGGCGAGUAGAAUUCCUGGUGUAGCAGUGAAAUGCGUAGAUAUCAGGAGGAAUACCGGUGGCGAAGGCGGCUCGCUGGCUCGUAACUGACGCUCAGGCACGAAAGCGUGGGUAGCAAACAGG